AAUCAUUUGUCUUUUAAAUGAAGACUUGUAUGAACGGCAAAACCUCCUCCAACUGUCUCCCCUCCCAUCCUUCCAAAUUUCCUCCUGUGUGAAGAAGCGCAGAUACACCAGAAAGACGAGAAGACCCUGUCGAGCUUUAACCACUAAGUGGGCCUUACCCUUUCAGGCACCACCCAAAGGUUUUGGUUGGGGCAACCACGGAGAAAAAACAUCCUCCAGAACGAAUAGAAGAAAGCUUUUCACUAUUAUUACGAUUAAGAACCAGGAACUGGUAUUCGGAAAGAGUUACCGCAGGGAUAACAGCGUCAUCUCCUCUAAGAGUCCUUAUUGACGAGGAGGUUUGCGACCUCGAUGUUGGAUUGGGGCCCCCUUAGGGUGCAGAAGCUCUAAACGGUUAGACUGUUCGUCUAUUAAAGCCCUACAUGAUCUGAGUUCAAACCGGAG
rnacentral:rRNA from 1 species